rnacentral:rRNA from 1 species
GAUGAACGCUGGCGGCGUGCUUAACACAUGCAAGUCGAACGGAAAGGCCCAAGCUUGCUUGGGUACUCGAGUGGCGAACGGGUGAGUAACACGUGGGUGAUCUGCCCUGCACUUCGGGAUAAGCCUGGGAAACUGGGGCUAAUACCGGAUAGGACCACUUGCUGGAUGGUGGGGGGGAAAGUUUUUUCGGUGUGGGAUGGGCUCGCGGCGUAUCAGCUUGUUGGUGGGGUGGUGGCCUACCAAGGCGUCGACGGGUAGCCGGCCUGAGAGGGUGUGCGGCCACAUUGGGACUGAGAUACGGCCCAGACUCCUACGGGAGGCAGCAGUGGGGAAUAUUGCACAAUGGGCGGAAGCCUGAUGCAGCAACGCCGCGUGGGGGAUGACGGCCUUCGGGUUGUAAACUGCUUUCGCCUGGGACGAAGCGUUUUGUGCCGGUACCGGGAGAGGAAGCCCCGCCUACUUCCGU